rnacentral:rRNA from 1 species
GCGAACUCGUGGCCGGAUGCGCGUGUAAUACGGAUGGGGCGAGCGUUUUUCGGAAUCACCGGGCUUAAAGCGCGUUUAGGCGGGCUUGUAAGUCGGGUGUGAAAGCCCGGGGCUUACCCCCGGAAGUGCACGGGAAACUGCAAGGCUUGAGUACCGGAGAGGAAGGUGGAAUUCCUGGUGUAGCGGUGAAAUGCGUAGAUAUCAGGAGGAACACCGGUGGCGAAGGCGGCCUUCUGGACGGAUACUGACGCUGAGACGCGAAAGCGUGGGGAGCAAACAGGAUUAGAUACCCUAGUAGUC